rnacentral:rRNA from 1 species
AGUGAACGCUGGCGGCGUGCUUAACACAUGCAAGUCGAACGAGAACGGAUUAUAGCUUGCUAUAAUUGUCAGCUAAGUGGCGCACGGGUGAGUAAUGUAUAGGUAAUAUGCCUCUUACUAAGGGAUAACAAAUGGAAACGUUCGCUAAUACCUUAUACUCCUUAUUAACAGAAGUUAAUAAGGGAAAGAUUUAUUGGUAAGAGAUUAGCCUGUAUUGUAUCAGUUAGUUGGUGGGGUAAUGGCUUACCAAGACUAUGACACAUAACUGGUUUGAGAGGAUGAUCAGUCACACUGGAACUGAGACACGGUCCAGACUCCUACGGGAGGCAGCAGUGGGGAAUAUUGCACAAUGGACGAAAGUCUGAUGCAGCAACGCCGCGUGGAGGAUGACACAUUUCGGUGCGUAAACUCCUUUUAUAUGAGAAGAUAAUGACGGUAUUAUAUGAAUAAGCACCGGCUAACUCCGUGCCAGCAGCCGCGGUAAAGUAG